GGGGAAUAUUGGACAAUGGGCGAAAGCCUGAUCCAGCCAUGCCGCGUGAGUGAUGAAGGCCUUAGGGUUGUAAAGCUCUUUCAUCAGGGAAGAUAAUGACGGUACCUGAAGAAGAAGCCCCGGCUAACUUCGUGCCAGCAGCCGCGGUAAUACGAAGGGGGCUAGCGUUGUUCGGAAUUACUGGGCGUAAAGCGCACGUAGGCGGACCGACAAGUCGGGGGUGAAAUCCUGAGGCUCAACCUCAGAACUGCCCUCGAUACUGUCGGCCUUGAGGUCGGGAGAGGUGAGUGGAACUGCGAGUGUAGAGGUGAAAUUCGUAGAUAUUCGCAAGAACACCAGUGGCGAAGGCGGCUCACUGGCCCGAAUCUGACGCUGAGGUGCGAAAGCGUGGGGAGCAAAC
rnacentral:rRNA from 1 species